UACGUAGGGUGCGAGCGUUAAUCGGAAUUACUGGGCGUAAAGCGCGCGUAGGUGGCUUGAUAAGCCGGUUGUGAAAGCCCCGGGCUCAACCUGGGAACGGCAUCCGGAACUGUCAAGCUAGAGUGCAGGAGAGGAAGGUAGAAUUCCCGGUGUAGCGGUGAAAUGCGUAGAGAUCGGGAGGAAUACCAGUGGCGAAGGCGGCCUUCUGGACUGACACUGACACUGAGGUGCGAAAGCGUGGGUAGCAAACAGG
rnacentral:rRNA from 1 species